AUGUCUUGUAAUUGGAAUGAGUAGAAUUUAAAUCCCUUUACGAGUAUCAAUUGGAGGGCAAGUCUGGUGCCAGCAGCCGCGGUAAUUCCAGCUCCAAUAGCGUAUAUUAAAGUUGUUGCGGUUAAAAAGCUCGUAGUUGGAUUUCUGCUGAGGACGACCGGUCCGCCCAUUGGGUGAGUAUCUGGUUCGGCCUGGGCAUCUUCUUGGAGAACGUAGCUGCACUUGACUGUGUGGUGCGGUAUCCAGGACUUUUACUUUGAGGAAAUUAGAGUGUUUCAAGCAGGCUUACGCCUUGAAUACAUUAGCAUGGAAUAAUAAUAUAGGACCUCGGUUCUAUUUUGUUGGUUUCUAGAGCUGAGGUAAUGAUUAAUAGGGACAAUUGGGGGCAUUCGUAUUGACGCGUCAGAGGUGGAAUUCUUGGAUUGCGUUACGACGAACUACUGCGAAAGCAUUUGCCAAAGAUGUUUUCAUUGAUCAAGAACGAAAGUAUGGGGAUCGAAGACGCUUAGAUACCGUCGUAGUCUAUACCAUAAACUGUGCCAACUAGAGAUUGGUGGGGUUCUCCUAUUUGGCUCCAUCAGCAUCUUAUGAGAAAUCAAAGUCUUUGGGU
rnacentral:rRNA from 1 species